GACGAACGCUGGCGGCGUGCUUAACACAUGCAAGUCGAACGGUAAGGCCCUUCGGGGUACACGAGUGGCGAACGGGUGAGUAACACGUGGGUGAUCUGCCCUGCACUUCGGGAUAAGCCUGGGAAACUGGGUCUAAUACCGGAUAGGACCACUGCCUGCAUGGGUGGUGGUGGAAAGCUUUUGCGGUGUGGGAUGGGCCCGCGGCCUAUCAGCUUGUUGGUGGGGUGAUGGCCUACCAAGGCGACGACGGGUAGGCGGCCUGAGAGGGUGAACGGCCACGCUGGGACUGAGAUACGGCCCAGACUCCUACGGGAGGCAGCAGUGGGGAAUAUUGCACAAUGGGCGCAAGGCUGAUGCGGCGACGCCGCGUGAGGGAUGACGGCCUUCGGGUUGUAAACCUCUUUCAGCACCGACGAAGCGCAAGUGACGGUAGGUGCAGAAGAAGGACCGGCCAACUACGUGCCAGCCGCCGCCGUAA
rnacentral:rRNA from 1 species